rnacentral:rRNA from 1 species
UGCAGUCGAGCGAAUGGAUUAAGAGCUUGCUCUUAUGAAGUUAGCGGCGGACGGGUGAGUAACACGUGGGUAACCUGCCCAUAAGACUGGGAUAACUCCGGGAAACCGGGGCUAAUACCGGAUAACAUUUUGAACCGCAUGGUUCGAAAUUGAAAGGCGGCUUCGGCUGUCACUUAUGGAUGGACCCGCGUCGCAUUAGCUAGUUGGUGAGGUAACGGCUCACCAAGGCAACGAUGCGUAGCCGACCUGAGAGGGUGAUCGGCCACACUGGGACUGAGACACGGCCCAGACUCCUACGGGAGGCAGCAGUAGGGAAUCUUCCGCAAUGGACGAAAGUCUGACGGAGCAACGCCGCGUGAGUGAUGAAGGCUUUCGGGUCGUAAAACUCUGUUGUUAGGGAAGAACAAGUGCUAGUUGAAUAAGCUGGCACCUUGACGGUACCUAACCAGAAAGCCACGGCUAACUACGUGCCAGCAGCCGCGGUAAUACGUAGGUGGCAAGCGUUAUCCGGAAUUAUUGGGCGUAAAGCGCGCGCAGGUGGUUUCUUAAGUCUGAUGUGAAAGCCCACGGCUCAACCGUGGAGGGUCAUUGGAAACUGGGAGACUUGAGUGCAGAAGAGGAAAGUGGAAUUCCAUGUGUAGCGGUGAAAUGCGUAGAGAUAUGGAGGAACACCAGU